rnacentral:rRNA from 1 species
AUUGAACGCUGGCGGCAGGCUUAACACAUGCAAGUCGAACGAGCGGCGGACGGGUGAGUAAUGUAUGGGAAUCUAGCUGAUGGAGGGGGAUAACUACUGGAAACUGUAGCUAAUACCGCCUACUAUCAGAUGUGCCCAUAUGGGAUUAGCUAGUAGGUGGGGUAAUGGCUCACCUAGGCGACGAUCCCUAGCUGGUCUGAGAGGAUGACCAGCCACACUGGAACUGAGACACGGUCCAGACUCCUACGGGAGGCAGCAGUGGGGAAUAUUGCACAAUGGGCGCAAGCCUGAUGCAGCCAUGCCGCGUGUAUGAAGAAGGCCUUCGGGUUGUAAAGCACUUUCAGCGGGGAGGCGUUACCCGCAGAAGAAGCACCGGCUAACUCCGUGCCAGCAGCCGCGGUAAUAC